rnacentral:rRNA from 1 species
CCAUGUGGAUUAGUUGUAGCUGGCCUCUCGGGGCAUGUGCACGCUUUUCUGCAAUUGUUCUCCAUCCACCUGUGAACAUUUUGUAGAUUUGCGAGAGAUAGAAAGAAGGGCAACCUUCUGACGAAGACUCGCGGUCUAUGUUUUAUAAACUCUAACGAAUGUCUAAGAAUGUCUUGUUAUAUUCAAACAUAAAUAUAACUUUCAGCAACGGAUCUCUUGGCUCUCGCAUCGAUGAAGAACGCAGCGAAAUGCGAUAAGUAAUGUGAAUUGCAGAAUUCAGUGAAUCAUCGAAUCUUUGAACGCACCUUGCGCUCCUUGGCAUUCCGAGGAGCAUGCCUGUUUGAGUGUCAUUAAAUUCUCAACCUUUCCAUUUUGUAAUGAAAUGUUGAAAGGCUUGGAUUGUGGAGGUUUGCUGGCUCUAGUUAGUCAGCUCCUCUGAAAUGCAUUAGCGGAGACUUGUAGGGCAUCUCCCUUGGUGUGAUAAUUAUCUACGCCUUGGUUGACUACAAAAGCUUUGCUUUCUAAUCGUCGCAAGACAAUUAUCAAAUUUUGACCUCAAAUCAGGUAGGACUACCCGCUGAACUUAAG